UAGGAAAGUAUGUAGGAAAGU
rnacentral:piRNA from 1 species